rnacentral:rRNA from 1 species
GACGAACGCUGGCGGCGUGCUUAACACAUGCAAGUCGAGCGGUAAGGCCCUUUCGGGGGUACACGAGCGGCGAACGGGUGAGUAACACGUGGGUGACCUGCCCUCAGCUCUGGGAUAAGCCUGGGAAACUGGGUCUAAUACUGGAUAUGACUCCACGGUGCAUGUCGUGGGGUGGAAAGCCUUGUGCGGCUGAGGAUGGGCCCGCGGCCUAUCAGCUUGUUGGUGGGGGAUGGCCUACCAAGGCGACGACGGGUAGCCGGCCUGAGAGGGCGACCGGCCACACUGGGACUGAGACACGGCCCAGACUCCUACGGGAGGCAGCAGUGGGGAAUCUUGCGCAAUGGGCGAAAGCCUGACGCAGCGACGCCGCGUGAGGGAUGACGGCCUGGUGUAACU